UACGGAGGGUGCCAGCGUUGUCCGGAUUUAUUGGGCGUAAAGCGCUCGCAGGUGGUUCGUCGCGUCGUGCGUGAAAGACCCCGGCUCAACUGGGGAGUGUCGUGCGAUACGGGCGAACUGGAGGCCAGUAGGGGGAUGCGGAAUUCCGGGUGUAGUGGUGGAAUGCGUAGAGAUCCGGAGGAACACCAGCGGCGAAGGCGGCAUCCUGGACUGGUCCUGACACUCAUGAGCGAAAGCGUGGGGAGCGAUCCGG
rnacentral:rRNA from 1 species